rnacentral:rRNA from 1 species
UACAGAGGGGGCAAGCGUUGUUCGGAAUUACUGGGCGUAAAGGGCGCGUAGGCGGCCUGCUAAGUCGAACGUGAAAUCCCUGGGCUCAACCCAGGAACUGCGUCCGAUACUGGACGGCUUGAAUCCGGGAGAGGGAUGCGGAAUUCCAGGUGUAGCGGUGAAAUGCGUAGAUAUCGUAAGGAAGACCAGUGGCGAAGGCGGGUCUCUGGACAGUUCCUGACGCUGAGGCACGAAGGCCAGGGGAGCAAACCAGG